rnacentral:RNase_P_RNA from 1 species
GUAAGACAGACAGUCGCGCGGCCAGGCCGAAAGGCCGUCCGUGAGGAAAGUCCGGGCUCCACAGGGCAAGGAUAACGGGUAACGCCCGCCGAAGGCGACUUCAGGAAAAGUGCAACAGAGAUAUACCGCCUCGUCGUCGCAAGCUCCAUAUCCUUCGCUUCCGCCUUGCGGCGAAAGCUCACUCAUUUCGCUGCUCCUCCUCUUCCGAAAAGAACCGCUUCGCUGGGUUCUUUUCGGAGUGGGGGACGGGGGACGAGAAGGACGGAGGGUAAGGAGCUUGCGACGACGAGGUAAGGGUGGAAAGGCGGAGAUAAGCGCCCGCCCGAUGACUGGAAACUGCUCAUCGCUGUAAACUCUAUCCGGAGCAACACCGGUAUGGGAGCAGGGGGUCCGACCCCCAGGGCUGGCCCGGCCGCUCCCGGGGUGGCUGGAGCGUAUCGGCAACGAUGCGUCGAGAUAGAUGACUGUUUGAUACAGAACCCGGCUUACAGUCUUGCUCGU